CAAUAGCGUAUAUUUAAGUUGCUGCAGUUAAAAAGCUCGUAGUUGGAUUUCGGGUGGGAAUGGCCGGUCCGCCGUUUCGGUGUGCACUUGCUACGCCCACCUUGCUGCCGGGGACGUGCUCUUGAGUUCACGCUCGGGACACGGAGUCGGCGAGGUUACUUUGAGUAAAUUAGAGUGUUCAAAGCAGGCCUACGCUCUGAAUACAUUAGCAUGGAAUAACACGAUAGGACUCUGGCCUAUCUUGUUGGUCUGUAGGACCGGAGUAAUGAUUAAGAGGGACAGUCGGGGGCAUUCGUAUUUCAUUGUCAGAGGUGAAAUUCUUGGAUUUAUGAAAGACGAACUACUGCGAAAGCAUUUGCCAAGGAUGUUUUCAUUAAU
rnacentral:rRNA from 1 species